rnacentral:sRNA from 1 species
CAAAAAAAAACCAAAAC